UACGGAGGGUGCAAGCGUUAUCCGGAUUCACUGGGUUUAAAGGGUGCGUAGGUGGGAAUGUAAGUCAGUGGUGAAAUCUCCGUGCUUAACAUGGAACUGCCAUUGAUACUAUGUUUCUUGAAUUUUCUGGAGGUCAGCGGAAUAUGUCAUGUAGCGGUGAAAUGCUUAGAGAUUACAUGGAAUACCAAUUGCGAAGGCAGGUUGCUACCAAUUGAUUGACGCUGAUGGACGAAAGCGUGGGUAGCGAACAGG
rnacentral:rRNA from 1 species